UUUGCGAGAAACAACCUUUAAAAAAAUAUAUGGCAAAAAAGACCUUGACAAGAAAAUAUUUUGCAAAGAAUAACCUUGAACCGCUUUCCGGCAUUGACCAAGAAUUUUCAGCUUUUCGUUCAAACCAAACAUGUGGAGUGCACGUGAACUACAUCUCUUAUAUUUCAACCUUGUUUUUCUACAUUUUUCGACAUUGGCCAAAUAUUUUCUGACGUUGACUUCAUCAGUAUAUAAUGGGAAAUUGGGUUGAAACAUAAGAUAUAUGGAUUACGUGCCUUGCCAUAUUUAGUUUCAAUGAGUCGAAGCCGCAAAAUACUUAGUUAAUGCCUGAAAAAAGGGUCAAGGUUGUUUCUUCAAAUUUUUUUAAGGACUUAUUUUCCCAUAUUUUUUUAAAACGGUUGUUUCUCGCAAAAACUUGAAUUUAAAAAGUUACUUUUCACAAAUUUUCUUUUUAAAACAUAUAAAUAGGAAGCUUAACAAACACAUAUGAAAGGCCUGAAAAUAAAUAAAUAUAAAAGUACAGAAAAGAAAUACUCCUACCAUACAAUUAUAGAAGAUUAAAAUCAGGGGAAACCAGCAAUGUCUUAUUCCACUAAAAUUCGUGAUAAAAGUGUCGGCAACGAAACAAUAUUACAAACUAAUGUUGUCGCUAGCUAUUUCCUCUCCAAUCAAUUGAAACAAUACAUAAAUCGCAAGAAAGAAAGAAAAAACUUAUACCAAAAAAAAGAGUUAAAGCUAAACCAGAAGAUAUAAUAAUACAUAUUAUUAUCAAGAUUAUUGAGUCCAAAAAACAAAACAAAUGAACCAAAAAAAUUUAUGACAACGGAGAACAAGAGCAAUGCCUGGCUUUCCCAUGUACGCCGCCGCGAAUCUCGAACGAUCAAGUUUUCGUAAAAAGAUAAGCUAUAAUCUUGCGUACCAUUCGAAGCUAUGAAGCAUGAAAACCUCUAAGACCUCAGGUAUGAAGCCUUACAAUAACAAAAUCUUAAGGCUUAACUCGUUCGAGAAACCUUUUUGUUUCCGAAACAUUAACCAUUUCCAUGCAUAUCAAAUGAAGAUCUUCAGCAUUUCUAGUUUCUCUUCUUUUUUCCUCUUCUUCCGACUCUUCAUAAUACAUUUAUGUUAUACUCUCUAUUUUUGUAGUCCCUUCACAAAGGAAAUAAUAAGUACUCCUAUAAUGGUAGAUUUUAUUGCAAGUACUUGAAGAUAAUAAUAAUGGGUGAAGAGGUGAUAAAAUUUUGAAAAGUUUAAUUAAUCUAAGAAAUGGGAAGAUGAAAAGUUGUUCCCGAGAAGAUGAUGACGAGGUUUUCCCGUUAAUGUUGUAUUGUUGUUUCCUAAGCAUGGGAAGAGGAGGAGGACGACUUUUUGUUUCACACGUUCAUUGCUCUCUCUCUUAUUACUUAGCUUUCUCUCUCUAAAGCUUACGCAAGAGUCAAUGAUUUUAAAGGAGGGACUUAAAUGACCUCAUAUGAAUCUUGUAUUUUUUAUACACUAAUUAAAUUCUAGAUUUAAUUGGUUUUCACGUACUAUGAUGAAAACUAGCCUUGUUUUGAGGGAGCAACGUAGUUCCAAAAGUUUUUAUGAAUUCUUAAUGAUUCAUUUCAACGUGUGGACCCUUGUACCAGAUUCAUACAAUACUUUCCUACACCAAGACUUUUUAUUUGUAUUUUAAACAAUGCUCUACUUCAUUUGAAAAUUGAAAUACUUACAUUUUUGUGGUCAAAUCUAGAUCAUAUUAUUCUAUAAAUAUAGUUUCUCAUCUAUUUUUUUACUCCCUCCGUCCCAUAAUAUAGUGCUUGUUUCUUUUUUACACGGUCUUCAAUAUGCAACUUUGACCUUUAAUAUCUUCAAUUCCGUAUUAAUAGAAAAUAUAAAAAGUUGAUAUUAUGAAACUACACAUUGAGACGAAUGUAACAAGAUCCCACAUGAAUAUGUUUUUCUAUAUAUACAAAUGAGAAUAUUCGGUCAAAGAUUUUAAAGUUUGACCCACAAAAAAUGAAAUAGGCACUAUAUUAUGGGACGGGGGGAGUAUAUUACAAUACUUAAUUUGAUGUUUGUGUUCUUUUGCACACAAAUCUGACUAAUAGUAAUCUAUCGAGAGUGAUAAAAGCUAACAUCUUUUUAUUAUGGGUCUAUCUCAAUUUAUUAGACCUUUAUUAAUCCUUAUUAGAUGUUAUUCGAACUUAUUUUGUAAGUGUAUCACACCUUAUUUUUGCUGAACUAGACUUAUUAGACCUUAUAUGCUUAUCUACCUUAUCUUUUCUAAUAAGAACUGAAAAUAUAGUAAAUGAAACAUACCCUACAUGCUAACAUUCAGUAUAUGAAUAUUAAGUAAAGGUUAGUUUAUAAAUGGAUUUUUUUUUUACUUAAACUACUUUAUAGAGUCGAGUUUUUUUCAAAUUGAAACCUUCUAAAACCUUUCAUUCUUAAAAAUUAACACCUAAAAAUUUCUUUUAGAUUGCCACCAAUUGGCAGAUACCUUGAGCCCACUGGGCCUUUAUUGGUUAUAUAAUGCUCUGAAUUUCCAAGCCCAAACCAAACGAGUGUUCGGCACGCGUUUGGACAGGGUGUCCCCCCCCCCACCUAACUUGUGUACAUAUUAGCUUUCAAUGCACGCGAUGCGUGCGAUGAUAUUUUCCCCAAAUCAAACCACUACUCCCCCAAUUGUGAUACCCAUAUUUCUAAAUUUCACGCAAUAUUUUUCUCUCUAUUAAAUUGAACAUCAUCUUCAUCAAUUUUCCUCAAUUCAAACCACACUUGUUUUUUUCUCUAUCUAUACAAUUGAGACUGUCGAUUAUUAGCAAGUUGCAAAGUUGGCUUUGGCAGUCAUGGAAUUGGCUUUCACUCAGCCCGUCAUGGACCACCGAGCUUGCUUGCGAUCAUGGCCCAAGCUCUGCAGUUUAUGUUGAAAUUCGAUUAUGGGCACAAUUUUUUUGAUUUUAAUAUAUGGGUUAAGUAUUUCUUUUUUCCCCGAAUCCGAUUUCUCAUAUUAUGUCUUAAUUUUUUUUUUAUUAUUUGGGCAUGAAUAUUAAAGUUAUAGUAACAAAAUUUGAUUUUUAUAUUUUAAUAUAUGGGUUUAAGUUUUUUUUUUCCUCAAAUUCUUUAUAAUAUAUGGGCACAAAAACAACUCGAGUUCUCAUAUUUUGUCUCAAUUUUUUUCAUAUCUAGGGCACGAAUAUUAAAGUCAUUUUCGAUGAAAUUUCAUUUUUUUCAAUCAUUUAUGAUGUACUUUUAAUUUUAAUUUUAAUUUCAAUUAUCUUCGAAUUAAAUUUUAAAUAAAAUAUAAUCUAAGUGAAAUUAUUUUCUGGAAAAAAAAUAAUACAACAGAUAUUCGUAAGAGUUACUGUAAUUUGAGUUUAAUUUGACUCGAACAUACUACAUAUUUUUAAGAUUUACUGAAUAUAGAACAGCACACAUAAUUUUAUUUUCAAGAACGAACUGUAUACCUAAAGAAUCGAAAAUUUUCAGAGUUUCGUAUUUGAGAAUGUCGUGAAGGUCCAAUCUAUGAAGAGAACUGAUUUGUUUUUUGUUUGAUGCUUGUGUUUUGGAAAUAUUAAUUUGAGAGGAUGUUAUGCCAUGUAAUUUUUUUUUUUUUUGUUAUUGUAUGUAGUAUUAACAUUUGGUAAGUCCUUGAUUAUUAAUUUUUUUUAUUGGAUCUUUUUUAUUGGCAAGUUUAUGUGGUUGAAUCUUAUAUGAGUUGAUUGGGUUUAAAUUUUAUUUGAUUGAUAUUUUUGUUUUGGCAAGUUUAUGCAUGAAACUGGGGUUGAUGAGGUGGCUCGAGGUAGUGGAAACUUGAAAUAUAAUAUCUAUGUUGGGGGCAUUUAAGUAAAUUCUAAGGGGUACACCAUUGCUCCACCCUUGGCUUAUAUAAUAGAGAUUUAUAUUUUAUAAUGUCUUUUUUGGUUACAAACAUGUACUAUUUUUUAAAAUAAUUAUUUCGAAAUUUAUACCAUACAAUAGAGACUUAAAUUAUUCAUGUAAUUCGAAUAUAAGAGUUAGUUUUUUUUCAACUAAUUUGAAAUAACUUGCAAGAUGAAAAAGAAUUAUGUACCUUUUUUAGAAGUUCGCAUUUCGCCAAUGGACAAAUGUGAAAUCUUUCUAUCGAAAUUGUAUGUUUUUCUUAGUUUGUAAUUUGUAUUGACGUUGUAGUACAUUGGUACAUUUUUUAGUAUGUAAUUGUAAAUUGUUCUUGGGAACGGAGUAUGUAAUUGCUAAUGGGUUAUGGUUGGUAAUUGAAUUUUUUUGUUUUUGUAAAGUUUUUUCAUUUCAGUUAUUUGUAUAACGUGAAUUAUGCAAUUCUAUUAAGGAAAAAUUGUGAAUAACCACCUGCCAGAUACCCCUGUUUCAAAAUAACCACCCCAAUUUCAUUUGCAUUUAAAUAACCAUCUCUACUUAGCUUCACGUUUUUAAAUACCCACCUCUUAACAGAAAAAGGUGACUCCGUUAACAGUGAGGCCUGUUGACACGCUUUUUUAUUAAAUUUCCCGCCAAUUUUCCUCGACUUUGACCUCUAUAUAUUUCUCUAACAUUUACAAACCUAAUCUAAACAAAUUUGGCAAAGAUUUACUUCAAUUCCACUGUGAUUCCUCUUGAAGCUCAAAAUUCAGGAAUUUGCUAUGGCUGAAAGGGAAUCAAUUACUUGCCAUUGUACUCUCCCUGUUGCAAGGAGGACUUCUUGGACUGAGAAGAAUCCCGGACGAAGGUUCAUGUCUUGAAAAUAUGUAAUUGCUAAUGGGUUAUAGUUUGUAAUUGAAUUUUCUUGUUUUUGUAAAGUUUUUUUCAUUUCAGUUAUCUGUAUAGCGUGAAUUAUGCAAUUCUAUUAAUUUCAGUUGACUUGUGAUUGAUUGUUAUAA